rnacentral:misc_RNA from 1 species
GCACAUUAAAUGUAUAUAUAAAGAUGGUACAAACAGAUACAAAUGACUAUCCUCCUAAAAAUGAUAAUUACAUAGAUAUAUCUCAACAUAUGAACCGGGUAAUCGGGUAACUGACGUUCGAACACUGGUAUCUUCCUCGUUUAAAAUGGUUUGAACUAGACAUGUAAAUCAAUUUCACAAAUUCACAUCACUACUUCCAAAUGUGUUAACUUUCUACCUUUU